AGAGUUUGAUCCUGGCUCAGAUUGAACGCUGGCGGCAGGCCUAACACAUGCAAGUCGAGCGGAAACGGCGGUAUUGAAGCUUCGGUGGAUUUACUGGACGUCGAGCGGCGGACGGGUGAGUAACGGCUGGGAACCUGCCCUGACGAGGGGGAUAACCGUUGGAAACGACGGCUAAUACCGCAUAAUGUCUACGGACCAAAGGUGGCCUCUACAUGUAAGCUAUCGCGUUGGGAUGGGCCCAGUUAGGAUUAGCCAGUUGGUAAGGUAAUGGCUUACCAAGGCAACGAUCCUUAGCUGGUUUGAGAGGAUGAUCAGCCACACUGGGACUGAGACACGGCCCAGACUCCUACGGGAGGCAGCAGUGGGGAAUAUUGCACAAUGGGGGAGACCCUGAUGCAGCCAUGCCGCGUGUGUGAAGAAGGCCUUCGGGUUGUAAAGCACCUUCAGCAGUGAGGAAGGUCGUGUACUUAAUACGUGCACGGCUUGACGUUAGCUGCAGAAGAAGCACCGGCUAACUCCGUGCCAGCAGCCGCGGUAAUACGGAGGGUGCGAGCGUUAAUCGGAAUUACUGGGCGUAAAGCGCAUGCAGGCGGUUUGUUAAGUCAGAUGUGAAAGCCCGGGGCUCAACCUCGGAACCGCAUUUGAAACUGGCAGGCUAGAGUCUUGUAGAGGGGGGUAGAAUUUCAGGUGUAGCGGUGAAAUGCGUAGAGAUCUGAAGGAAUACCAGUGGCGAAGGCGGCCCCCUGGACAAAGA
rnacentral:rRNA from 1 species